rnacentral:tRNA from 1 species
CGGGGUGUAGCGCAGCUGGCUAGCGCGCUAUCUUAGGGAGGUAGAGGCCGCGUGUUCGAAUCACGUCACUCCGA